rnacentral:rRNA from 1 species
CCUACGGGUGGCAGCAGUGAGGAAUAUUGGUCAAUGGCCGCAGGGCUGAACCAGCCAAGUCGCGUGAGGGAUGACGGUCCUAUGGAUUGUAAACCUCUUUUGUCAGGGAGCAAAGGGCGCCACGUGUGGCGUUUUGCGAGUACCUGAAGAAAAAGCAUCGGCUAACUCCGUGCCAGCAGCCGCGGUAAUACGGAGGAUGCGAGCGUUAUCCGGAUUUAUUGGGUUUAAAGGGUGCGCAGGCGGAAUGUCAAGUCAGCGGUAAAAUUUCGGGGCUCAACCCCGUCGUGCCGUUGAGACUGGCGUUCUUGAGUGAGCGAGAAGUAUGCGGAAUGCGUGGUGUAGCGGUGAAAUGCAUAGAUAUCACGCAGAACCCCGAUUGCGAAGGCAGCCUUCCGGCGCCCUACUGACGCUGAGGCACGAAAGUGCGGGGAUCGAACAGGAUUAGAUACCCUUGUAGUC